GACGAACGCUGGCGGCGUGCUUAACACAUGCAAGUCGAACGCUGAAGCACCAGCUUGCUGGUGUGGAUGAGUGGCGAACGGGUGAGUAAUACGUGAGUAACCUGCCCUUGACUCUGGGAUAAGCCCGGGAAACUGGGUCUAAUACUGGAUGCUACAUGUCACCGCAUGGUGGUGUGUGGAAAGGGUUUACUGGUCUUGGAUGGGCUCACGGCCUACCAGCUUGUUGGUGAGGUAAUGGCUCACCAAGGCGACGACGGGUAGCCGGCCUGAGAGGGUGACCGGCCACACUGGGACUGAGACACGGCCCAGACUCCUACGGGAGGCAGCAGUGGGGAAUAUUGCACAAUGGGCGAAAGCCUGAUGCAGCGACGCCGCGUGAGGGAUGACGGCCUUCGGGUUGUAAACCUCUUUCAGCAGGGAAGAAGCCACAAGUGACGGUACCUGCAGAAGAAGCGCCGGCUAACUACGUG
rnacentral:rRNA from 1 species